rnacentral:rRNA from 1 species
AGUGAACGCUGGCGGUAGGCCUAACACAUGCAAGUCGAACGGCAGCACAGUAAGAGCUUGCUCUUACGGGUGGCGAGUGGCGGACGGGUGAGGAAUACAUCGGAAUCUACUUUUUCGUGGGGGAUAACGUAGGGAAACUUACGCUAAUACCGCAUACGACCUACGGGUGAAAGCAGGGGAUCUUCGGACCUUGCGCGAUUGAAUGAGCCGAUGUCGGAUUAGCUAGUUGGCGGGGUAAAGGCCCACCAAGUCGACGAUCCGUAGCUGGUCUGAGAGGAUGAUCAGCCACACUGGAACUGAGACACGGUCCAGACUACUACGGGAGGCAGCAGUGGGGAAUAUUGGACAAUGGGCGCAAGCCUGAUCCAGCCCUACCGCGUGGGUGAAGAAGGCCUUCGGGUUGUAAAGCCCUUUUGUUGGGAAAGAAAAGCAGCAGGUUAAUACCCCGCUGUUCUGACGGUACCCAAAGAAUAAGCACCGGCUAACUUCGUG